AAGAACAGUUGUAUAUGUAAAUACGCUUAGACUUUGCAAUAUUAUGGAAAUCGCUUAAUCGGCAAAGUACAUAUUUAAAUUUGACUUUGAAAUAACAACAAAGCAGUCGAAGUUCUUUAUGCUAUUGCGUACGUAAAAUAGGACAGGUGGGAUAGGAUGGGUGAGGGGGGGGUCACUAAAAGGCAAAUGAAGUUAGUUCCUGAGUAUCGAUCAAACUUCAUGGAUCAUUAUUUUUGAUGGCUCAAUAAAUUAUCUCAAGCUUGUAUAGGCUAAUGUGUAUUAAUAUAAAUUAAUUCGAAGUAAAAAACGUAUGUAUGUAAUCCGAGAAUGUUUAUAGUAUUAUUAUUAAACGAUUUGUUAGAUAUCGAAAAAAAGAGUUGAGAAUAAUUUUAUUACGUGUAUCAUUGAUUCUUUGAAAAUGUAGCAUUUUCAUAAAGAUCGAUGAGCCGAGUUGAAUAUUUUUCGGAUGAACAAAUUUGAAUUUCCCGAGAAAACAAAAUGGUGGAUUUAUUUCGUGCCGUAACAAAUUUUAACAAAUGUGAAUCGAAGAUGAGCAAAAGUUCAUAUUUCCUAUUGGUGAUGUGUUUCCCUUCGCCCCCCCCCCACCCAUUGAAAUGGCGAUCGUAAAUUGAUUAUCCCAAUUAACCGCGUGUGAAAUAAACGCAACAAAGGACUUAACUGCCGUGAAAAUUACCAUCUUACCAAUAUGGAUAGCAGAAGGAGAAUCAUCAAGGCAACUAUGUACCAACGAUCGAUAAUCCAUCGUUGAAAGUUAGCAAGACUUGCAUCUGAUAGAAGAAGCCUUCUCAAGGUGGCCAGAGGGCCACUUGGAUCAACCUAUGCACGUACAAGGAAAUAACUUACAUAACAUGACCAGAGUUCACAGCUCUUGGUCGGUGGAUCCUCUGGUCCUGCGAUACACUGACAGGAUUCCAAACCGUAAGCCAGGCAAAUGCUGCCGGUGCAUUCCUGAAAGCAAUGCGAAGAUCCGAUAAACUACCACCAUUGCUUUACAAUUAUCGCUCUAUACAAGAGGACAAUGAUUUACAGGAGAUAUCAAAGGCGACGAGAGGGAAUAGAGAGUGGAGUAGUCUAUGGGAUCGAAAUGACGAAGGACGAUACUUGAAACGUAUGAAUAUCCCAUGUUCAUGAUAGGACGAAUUUAAGCUUUGUUCUGUUCGUCAUAUCUUCAAUGACAUUAUCGUUUCAUCGACUACAAGGAUAGAGACAAUAGUGUGUCAAUUCGGUGAUAGACUGGCAAGACAAAUUGCAAAGAUAACUUAUCUCAUAGAGCAACAGAAUGGAUUGAUUAUUAAAUGGUCCCUGCUUGUCAAGGAGAGAAAGAGAGAGUAGGAGAGAGAGUAGGAGAGAGAGAGAGAGAGACAGAGAGAGAGAGAGAGAGAGAUACAGUCUGGUAAAUGAGUAUGUUACUACAUUGUCGUAGGUAGGUUGGACGUAGGAAAAUCGAGCUUACUAUUUGUUUUUCGUCGAGGAGAAAGAGAGAAUGGGUGCUUCGGGUAACGAGGAUCAGAUACAUUCGAUUCUAUUCAGCCGAGUGGAAAACGUUGGUACGCGAAGAGGCAAGUCGACUGUUGAGGAAGGAAGAGGAAGUGGAAGAGGAGGAGGAGGAGGAGGAGAAGGAGGAGAGAAAGGGGUAGAGGGUACAGGGUAGAGGGUAGAGGGUAGAGGGUAGAGGGCUUUUCUCUCGUAUGUACGAGCCGUGGAAAUCGAUAUUCCCGAAAUAGUCGGUUUCUAAUUUGCAAGUACAAUAACGUCGGUUGGUCGGUUGGUCGAAAGAGGAGAUGAGAGAAGUGGAGAGGCGAUGGAUGCUAACAGAGAGAGAGAGAGAGAGAGAGAGAGAGAGAGAGAGGAGAGAGAGAGGAGAGUGUGUGAGCGGGAGAAAGCGAGAAAGAGAGAGAGAGAGAGAGAGAGAGAGAGAGAAGAGAGAGAGAGAGAGAAAAUAGGGAGAGAAGUCAGCUGCCGCGCUACGUCCUCGAAAGUUUGCAAUUUGCUUUGGCGUUUCCGCACCGUCGGCAACAAUGAGACGUCGACGUCGCAUCCUCGGCUCCACACCGAAUUCGACGUUCUCUGAAUCGAACAGAGUAAGGGGAGACGUUUGUACGUUCGCGUCAAGAAGAAAAUUGUGUUUCUCUAACGAAUACUUUAGAUUAUUUAUGAUUUCUUUUCUUUUCUUUUCUUUUUCUUUUUUUUUUUUCCCUUUUUUUUUCCUUUUUUUUUCCCUCCCACAUUUAAAAUCGAAUCUUGAUUAUGUAUUUCAAAUUUCCUCUAUGACAACUAUGUCGAAUAGAACGUAAUGAGAGUUUUGUUUGUUUCAGAAACAAUAGAGGUAUAUGUAUAAUACUUAAAUGUAUGUAUAUAUAUAUAUAUAUAUAUAUAUAUAUAUAUAUAUAUAUAUAUAUAGUCUAUGACUACUCAAAGUCCUUGAACUCAUCUUUAUUAAAGUCACGUAGAGUCGAUAAGGUGGCCUCGAUGCAACUCGAACGAUCUCGCCCUACGGAAAUUCGUAACUCUGUACGUCUCUGACGCGAGUGCCGUUGUAAUGGCGAUUGUUUCUCGACCUGUAGGUACGGCCAAACUUUCCCCUUCUGCGAUUCGUGCCGAGAAGUUACACGGAAGCAGUUCGAGCGUUAGAUUUUAUCACGCUCGUUCCACCAUCGUAGCCCUUAUUUGUUCCGUUAGUUAAAACUAAAUAAUCGCUGGGAUAUCUUGAUUUUGUUACUCCUCCUUUUAACUUUUUCUUUUCUUCUUUUUUUAAUUUGCUCUCUCGAUAAGAUCUUUUCUCUCUCUCUAUCUCUCUCUCUCUCUCUCUCUCCUACUCUCUCUCUUUCUCGCUCGCUUUCUUUUUUAUCGAAUUCAUUAACAUUUUAUAAAGCGCGUAAAUUUAGUAAUAUCUACGUAAUAGAUCUAUGAAAAAAUUUGGACAUUACUUUUGAUGAAAAUUUAAUAUUUAAAAUUUUGCAUCCUUAAGCAUUAAGUUUUAUUAGAAAAUUUUUUAAUAAAUUCGACGUAUUCUCAGAAUUUGCAGGAUUAUGAUAUUGGAAAUAAAUCGUAUCGACAGCAAUUUUUUUUUUUUUUCCUGAAAAUGAUUUAAAUGAUUUUUACCUACAUUUUUCUUUAUUUAUCAUACGCCAGUCUUAUUUAGCCGAUUCAUUGGCUUUCUUUCUUUCUUUCUCUCUUUCUUGGUUCUAUUAGCACCGUAAUUCACACACCGUAUACUUGCUAUUAUGACUACUACUAACGUACGAUCACGGAAACGCUAGACAGAGCUCAAUGAAUAAGUUACUAGCUAAGGAAGCGGCUCUGCCGGGAAUCGUAAAUUCGACGCGCCGCGGCAAUUCCGUAAGUGCGGCGUAUUCUCGUUGAGAUAGUCGUGAGGAACGCUCAUAAAAAUCGUCCCUUAUCGUGAUAUUAUUCUCUAUGCAAUUAAACGAACGUUGGAACGAAAGAAGAAAGUGAUCUUUGCAUUAGUAUUAAGGGAAUUCGAUAAUUGAAUUAAAUUAGUCUAUCGACGAUGAUAAACAAUUCAAUUUUAUUUUCCAAUAUAACAUCAUAUUUGUCAGAUAAAUGACAAAUAAUUGUAUUUGUAACGUAUAUUUAAAAGUUUAUCAAAUUGAAAUAAUUUAGGAAUUAUUUGAAAAACAAAAUCUUCUUUUAAAUGUUAUCCCUUAUAUAUUUAGAAUGAUUCAUUCAUUUUUCGUUUACACGUCCAUUGAUAAAAAAAGAAACAAAUAUGUCCCUUUAUUUUCAGCUAUGAAUCGAUUUAUUUCUAUCUGAUAUUUUGAGAUUAUAUUGUAUAUUAAUCGAGAAAUAUCUACGUCACAUCUAACGAAAUGACCACGGCCUCGAGGGAUAGCAGACGUCAAAGCCAUAAUCACCGUCGAUAUUUCUAUAUCUCAAAUAUUCGCAUGUUGAUAUAAUAUUAUACAUAUAUGGCAUAUGCAAAACGAAAUUGGCGACGUAUGAAUUAAUUAUUAUAUUAAUAGCGACCGGCUAUUUUACUGUACGGGUAUUCAAUUGGCGAUUGAGGAAGAGAGAGAGAGAGAGAGAGAGAGAGAGAGAGAGAGAGAGAGAGAGAGAGAGAGAGAGAGAGAGAGAAACAGAGAGAGAGAGAGAGAGAGAGAGAGAGAGAAACAGAGAGAGAGAGAGAGAGAGAGGAAAUAGAAAGAGAACAAAAGCUUCAUACGCUUGUAAUUAAUGCCCUGUGAGUUCUAUUACCAUCAACACCAUUGCUCUAUUUUCACGUAUUUCGCGUAUUUCACUUCUAUUAAUAUUCUUUUAUAAAUACGUACUAUUCGACUAUUUCGUUUGGAUUUGGAGCAUUAUUAUAGACGAUAGCGAUUAAGCGAGCAAACUUUAUUCGUUCAUACGAAACGAAUAGUGUGACCUGACAGAUUCCGUAUUAACUUUGUGUAUCGUAAUUUUUCGACGAGAAACAUUUCCUCUACGUUUCCAUUUUCCAUAUAUUCGUAAAAAAAAAAAAAAAAAAAAAAAAAAGAAAAAAAAAGUACCAAAACUCGAUUCAUCCAACUCUUUCCAACGUGUGUCCCUUCCUUUCUUGUUUAUCUGAUGAAAACUAUCGUAUUCGAUAUAUCCGAUACGACGUCGACGACAAUUUAUUUCGUUUCGUGAAUAUUUAAUUGCAUUAUAAAAACUCGUAAAAAUCAUUGAAGGGAAAAAUAUAUAUAUCCAUUAAACAAAAAUGAAAUAACAAUACACGACGACUAGGGAAUGUGAGAUAGCUAGAGACAGUUUUUCAAUUUUUAAAAAAAAAUCGAUCGAUGGAUGAUCAUUCAGAGAAGUUUUACGAAUAAAAUCUCUCUCUCUCUCUCUCUCUCUCUCUCUCUUUCUCUACCGGCGCAGAUGGAAUUUGACAAAGGCAGGAAUCGUCUGCGUCCAUAAAUUCGUGGUUGUAGAUCAAUACUAGGUAACGGGUAACGUGAAACUUGAUAGUGGUGCCUACGUGUGCGUACGUUUGUGUGUGUGUAUAUAUAUAUAUAUAUAUAUGGAUAUGAUUGCAUACGUAAAGGAGAAAUAGAGUGGUAUGCGAGUAAGUAGAGUGAAGUAGUGAAGUAGCCAAGUGGUGUGCGAGGUUGUAUUCUCCUCGUCUCGCUCGUUGGAGAAUGCUCGAAAGGACUCUGUGUGAUUCUGCACAACAUGUAUGCUAGUACCUAAAUAAGUGUAUGUGUAUGAGAGAGAAGAGAGAUGGAAAUAGACUCAUGUAUUCUCACCCCCAUGUAGCAGACGAACUCCUCGUUGCAUAUGGUCUUGUUGGGUUUGUUGAUGGAUGGCGGACACUGGGGACCUCGGCCGUCGCAAAAGCUCGCGUCCCUGCAUCCGUUGUCGUCCCUGCACUUGUCCCCGCUGCGUAAAGUACAAGCCGACGUGCAGCACGGUCCCUGCGACAGAGAUACGAAGAUCAGAGAGAGAUAUAGAGAGAAAGAGAGAGAGAGAGAGAGAGAGACUGUGAGAUCAGUAUGGUCUCUGUGGGAAUCCGUUAAUGGUACUCAAAGCAAGAUGCGAUCAUGUUAUUGGCUGACUUGCGUGUCAACUAUGGAAAAAUAUUGAAACGAACUUUUGUCCAAAGAUAAAUCCUCUCAUCGUGGGCACGCGCGAGAUAUGUCGGAACAUCACGAGCAUCGCUUUUUUACUCGACAAAGCUUUGCGGAACUUUGUUAAUGAGAGCAAACAGAAAAUUCGGAUUUGAAAAGGAUGCUUUCAAAGGGUAGACUACCAGAAGGCUGUGGUUGGACUAAUUGUAAACAACAGAGAGAAUACACGAGGUAUUAGAUUUAUUUAUACUUUACGGCGGAAAGGUACUAAAGUGUGUGUCGAUGGAAAACAAGGAGAUAGAUAACAGACAGAGGACGGGGAGUCAAGCGAGUGAUAGAGAGUAUCAGUGUUGUUAUGGACUCCAAACUGUACGGAUCGUAAUCUUGUGGACGAUGGCUUAUACGAAAUUACGCUUUGUAUUCAAGAUACUCUUCGAAAAGGUCGAAGGCACUUCGACGUGUUCGUGAACAUUUGAAAAAGUUUAGAAGAGAGAUGAUAGAAGUAUAGAAGAGGAGGUGGAGAAGAAGAAGGACGUUUCGUGAUACUAGUUGGUGGGUUUAUUAAUUAAGCAACGUUUACGUGCAACCAAGGCGAUUAACUUUUCUUAUCAGCGAAGAAGAAAAAGCUUGGCCGAUCGGAUUUCCCAAGCACGAAAAGCACCCACGAGCUUUUUUCUCUUCUCUCAGUAGUAGGAUAACCAUCGAGCUCGUUAUAUACACGAGUCAGAUCCUGUCCGAAAGGUGGCCUGUCUGUCUGACCAAGCGUAGUCUCUAACUACUGAGAAGGACCAUAGCAGGCGGGAAGAAGGGUAUAGUUGAGGAAGGGCGGGAUGGAUGGAUGGAUGGAGGGCGAGUAACAAGCAAGCACCGAAUUACAUUCCACGCACAACCCCUUUCUCCGAACGAGGCAACCUAGAACGAGAGACGGUGGUGGCACUGGUGUGAUAAGCGUUUGUUCAUACCGUGCCAGUGGCUGACUGUUUAGUCGUACGUACGUGACACACGUGUCCAAGCAAGGUGACAGCCUCCGCAAGCGGAAAUGGAUGUGCCUAGUAAAGGUUUCCCUUCUCUCCACUCUCCCCCUCCCCCGUACCACCCCCUGCCCUCCCAUCCUCCCACCUCAUCCCUGAACUCACCAAAUCCCACGUAGCUGCUACUACUUAAUUACGGGUUGUACUACUUGUAGUUUGGCAGUUUACGUCACGUCGGAUAGGAGUAUUACUUCUGUGUUACUAGCACGAAAUAGAGAGAAUAUCGUUUAGAUUGGCCAUUGGCUCGACCUUUAUCAAUUAUGAGCUAAUAACAUUUUAUUUUUCCCCAUGAGAGAAAAUGUAACGUGAACUUUUUCUUUUUAAUUUUAAUUUUUCCCCCCAUUCCUCCUCCCCGCCCCUCCCCACUCUCCCACGCCCCCCCAUCACUGUGUUUUUCUUAUUCCCCUUUUAUUUUUCCUUUCCUUUUUGUUUCUGAUUUUUUUCCUUGUUAAAUGUCUUAAUAAAAGAACUUUGAUCGUUUUGUUAAGCUUUAAUUGGCGACAAUCGAUUUCUCGUAAUAGUAACGAAUUUUGUCUUGUUUCUCUCUCUCUCUCUCUCUCUCUCGUUUUGAUUCUUUUUUUCUUUUCUUUCCUUUUCUCGUUCUUCCCUUCUUUCUCUCGGAAAACUCUUAAAUUCGAUUUCGAUCAAAACAUUUCGACAUUUCGUUUUCUUUCGAGGACUUUGUAAACGCGUCGUUAAAGUGACACCAGUACUAGAAACAAAUUCAAAAUUAUUUUCAAUGUCUUCGUCAAAUUGACUCGAAUUUCUCGAGGUUUUGUAUUUUCUUUUUUAUUUUUUUUUGUUUUUUUACUUAUCCUUUUUCCUUUUCUUUUCUUUCGUCCAAUACAUAUAUCACGUCGAUGUAACGCAGACAUCGUUCGAUCGAUCUGUCAACGACGAAAAAAAAAUCUCAUUCCUCUUUGAUGCCAAUCCGUUCGAAAAAGAAAAGCUCCGUGGAACUUCAUCUUCACGCGAAUCCGGACAAAACUUUAAAACCUUGAGAAAAACAAAAAUCAGAAGGAGGAUGAGAAGGUGGAAAAAAAGAAGAAGAAAGAGGAGAAGAAGCAGAAGAAGAAGAAAAAGAAGAAGAAGAAGAAGAAGAAGAAGAAGAUCCUUGCAUAAGCCGUUACGUCUUCGAACUUGUUAUUUCGAAGCACCCUUCUUCUUAUCUUCGUUGUGGAUGUUCGAACCUCUUAGCAGCAGCCUAUCGGUGAAAUGCGAGUAGUCAGACCAUUAUGGAGAUUCCAGAAGGUUCCCUCUCAUCAGCAGACGGCAUCACUUUAGUCCUAUCUGAAGAAAGAUAUAUAUAUAUAUAUAUAUAUAUAUAUAUAGAAAGAAAGAGAGAGAGAGAGAGAGACAGAGAGAGAGAGAAGGGACAGAGGAAUAGAUGGCUCGCCUCAAUAGAACCAAUUAAUUUCCCUCGUACCCGGAAACGCAUCACGGUGAUCCGGUUGGUGCAUUGAGAUAGAGGUGAGUAGGGAGAAUGGGAAAGAUAGUAAUGGUACAUUGGUGAUUGCAACUACGUAAUAGUAGUAGUGAUGGUGAUGAUAGUGGUGGUGGUAAUGGUGAUAGCGGUGGUGAUGGUGGUGGUGGUAAUGAUGGUGGUGGUAGUGGUGAGUGUCACCAGUAGAGAACUUUCCGAGGACGAAUAAGUUUUAAUUACGCGCGGUCAAAGGUGGCACGAGCCACGUCGGAAAUUUCAUUAACCGCCAGCGCUAUCUGCGACUUCCGCUUCUCGACGGAGCUUCGCUAAUUUCACCAAGGAAGAGAAGGGAAAGGUGAAUGAUGGUUGCGGUGUGAUGGUGACUGUGGAAUGAAAAAUAAGAAGAGUAAGAGGGUUAAAAGGGCGGGGGGGAGGGGAUGGAAGAAGGAAGCAUGGUUUGUUUGCUUCUCCUUGGUAAAGGAAGAAAAGCAGAGAGAAUCUCUAUGAAGAAGUUAAGAUCGAAAAGGAAUCUUUCUUAAGCA